UAAAAGUCGUAACAAGGUUCGUAGUGAACCUGCGAAGAUCAUUAAAAAUUGGACUCCAUUGUGAGUUCAUUAAUCCUACCCUUUGUGAAUUUGUUUGUUGAAUAAUUUUUUUCCAAAAAAAUUAUUGAAUGUCUUUCCUUGUUUUGGUGGAGCUUGUAAAGUGAAACCAGGCAGGGAAUGGCAACAAUAAUUAUUUUGAAAAGACCUUUUUUAAAUUAAACUUUUGUAUUCAUUUGCCUAAAUUAAUUUUUAUAAUAUAAAACAACUUUGACAAUGGAUCUCUUGGUUCUCGCAACGAUGAAGAACGCAGCAAAUGCGAUAAGUAGUGUGAAUUGCAGAAUACGUGAAUCAUCGAAUCUUCGAACGCAUAUUGCACUUUUUAGUUUACUAAAAAGUAUGUCUGUUUGAGUAUCAGUAAAAUUCUCAUAAAAACAUUGUUUUUUAUGUUAUGAGUGUUUACAACGAUAACAAGUUGUUUCACUUAAAUUCUUUGUUAUCAAAAAAUCAUUAAAAGCUAAUUUAAAGAUUUUUAAAUGGAUAAAUUUCCCGUAAAAGGAAUAACCUAAACAAUUUAAGAAUUAAAUUGGUUUGAUUUUUUUGAAACCCAAAGAAAAAAACGAAUUACUUGAUCUCAAAUCAGAUAAGAGUACCGCUGAACUUAAGCAUAUCAAUAAGCGGAGGAAAGAAACUAACUAGGAUUCCUCAGUAACGGCGAGUGAAGCGGGAAGAGCUCAAAUUUGAAAUCUUCAAGGUUUACCUUGACGAAUGUAGUUUAAAGAAGUGUUUCUGUUGGAGUUUUGGUAAAGUUCUUGGAAAGGACAUCAUAGAGGUGAGAUCCGUAUUUGACCAUUAUCUCCAGCUUUGUGAUACACUUCAAAGAGUCGGAUUGUUUGGGAUGCAGUCAAAUGGGUGGUAAAUUUCAUCUAAAGCUAAUACUGGCGAGAGACGAUAGCGAACAAGUACGUGAGGAAAGAUGAAAGAACUUUGAAAGAGAGUUAACAGUACGUGAAAUUGUCAAAAGGAAGCGUUUGACACCAGUGUUUUCUCGAAAAUCAAUUAAAAAGGCCGGAUUUGUGUGUAUUGACUUUAUCAGCUUCUGCACUUUUUCUUGUCUUUUUAAUGCACUUUUCGUUUAACAAGUCACAUCAAUUUCUUUGUUGUAAAAGGUCAUUGGAAGGUGGCUUCUUUUCGGAGAAAGUGUUAUAGCUUUGGCCUCUGCAAUCGGAGAUUGAGGUCUGCAGCGUAGAUCCUUCGGGUUAGAUACAUUUGUGCUAAGUUAUAGCCUUCAUAGACACUUGUUGACUAUGAUCAUCAUGUAGCUUACUCGCUUAUGCUAUUUACCUACGCUUAGGAUGUUG
rnacentral:misc_RNA from 1 species